AUUGGACGCUGGCGGCAGGCCUAACACAUGCAAGUCGAGCGGAUGAAGGGAGCUUGCUCCUGGAUUCAGCGGCGGACGGGUGAGUAAUGCCUAGGAAUCUGCCUGGUAGUGGGGGAUAACGUCCGGAAACGGGCGCUAAUACCGCAUACGUCCUGAGGGAGAAAGUGGGGGAUCUUCGGACCUCACGCUAUCAGAUGAGCCUAGGUCGGAUUAGCUAGUUGGUGGGGUAAAGGCCUACCAAGGCGACGAUCCGUAACUGGUCUGAGGGGAUGAUCAGUCACACUGGAACUGAGACACGGUCCAGACUCCUACGGGAGGCAGCAGUGGGGAAUAUUGGACAAUGGGCGAAAGCCUGAUCCAGCCAUGCCGCGUGUGUGAAGAAGGUCUUCGGAUUGUAAAGCACUUUAAGUUGGGAGGAAGGGCAGUAAGUUAAUACCUUGCUGUUUUGACGUUACCAACAGAAUAAGCACCGGCUAACUUCGUG
rnacentral:rRNA from 1 species